rnacentral:tRNA from 1 species
AGGGCAGUGGCGCAGCGGGAGCGCGCUUCCUUGGCAUGGAAGAGGUCAGGGGUUCGAUUCCCCUCUGCUCCACCG